AUUGCUUGGAUGUCCUUGACCUUGAAGAGGAGCGGCUGGCUUGCCAGAGCGGCUGCGCAGAAGCGAAAUAUUUACACCGCGCGAACUCUCUGCUGCGGGCCUUGCGGCCUUGGCCACGGCAGGAGGUCAUCCUCAGACGGGCCGGGCGGCAGCGGCUGUCGGAAGGACAGUGGCGGACACCCCCGCUGGAAGGCACUCCCCACGCAGGCUCGGCGGAAGGCCCGGCGGCGGCCGCUGCGGAGGAUCCGGAGGAUCCGGAGGAG